rnacentral:rRNA from 1 species
CUGGGCGUUAAGUUGCAGGGUAUAGACCCGAAACCCGGUGAUCUAGCCAUGGGCAGGUUGAAGGUUGGGUAACACUAACUGGAGGACCGAACCGACUAAUGUUGAAAAAUUAGCGGAUGACUUGUGGCUGGGGGUGAAAGGCCAAUCAAACCGGGAGAUAGCUGGUUCUCCCCGAAAGCUAUUUAGGUAGCGCCUCGUGAAUUCAUCUCCGGGGGUAGAGCACUGUUUCGGCAAGGGGGUCAUCCCGACUUACCAACCCGAUGCAAACUGCGAAUACCGGAGAAUGUUAUCACGGGAGACACACGGCGGGUGCUAACGUCCGUCGUGAAGAGGGAAACAACCCAGACCGCCAGCUAAGGUCCCAAAGUCAUGGUUAAGUGGGAAACGAUGUGGGAAGGCCCAGACAGCCAGGAUGUUGGCUUAGAAGCAGCCAUCAUUUAAAGAAAGCGUAAUAGCUCACUGGUCGAGUCGGCCUGCGCGGAAGAUGUAACGGGGCUAAACCAUGCACCGAAGCUGCGGCAGCGACGCUGAUGCGUUGUUGGGUAGGGGAGCGUUCUGUAAGCCUGUGAAGGUGUGCUGUGAGGCAUGCUGGAGGUAUCAGAAGUGCGAAUGCUGACAUAAGUAACGAUAAAGCGGGUGAAAAGCCCGCUCGCCGGAAGACCAAGGGUUCCUGUCCAACGUUAAUCGGGGCAGGGUGAGUCGACCCCUAAGGCGAGGCCGAAAGGCGUAGUCGAUGGGAAACAGGUUAAUAUUCCUGUACUUGGUGUUACUGCGAAGGGGGGACGGAGAAGGCUAUGUUGGCCGGGCGACGGUUGUCCCGGUUUAAGCGUGUAGGCUGGUUUUCCAGGCAAAUCCGGAAAAUCAAGGCUGAGGCGUGAUGACGAGGCACUACGGUGCUGAAGCAACAAAUGCCCUGCUUCCAGGAAAAGCCUCUAAGCAUCAGGUAACAUCAAAUCGUACCCCAAACCGACACAGGUGGUCAGGUAGAGAAUACCAAGGCGCUUGAGAGAACUCGGGUGAAGGAACUAGGCAAAAUGGUGCCGUAACUUCGGGAGAAGGCACGCUGAUAUGUAGGUGAAGCGACUUGCUCGUGGAGCUGAAAUCAGUCGAAGAUACCAGCUGGCUGCAACUGUUUAUUAAAAACACAGCACUGUGCAAACACGAAAGUGGACGUAUACGGUGUGACGCCUGCCCGGUGCCGGAAGGUUAAUUGAUGGGGUCAGCGCAAGCGAAGCUCUUGAUCGAAGCCCCGGUAAACGGCGGCCGUAACUAUAACGGUCCUAAGGUAGCGAAAUUCCUUGUCGGGUAAGUUCCGACCUGCACGAAUGGCGUAAUGAUGGCCAGGCUGUCUCCACCCGAGACUCAGUGAAAUUGAACUCGCUGUGAAGAUGCAGUGUACCCGCGGCAAGACGGAAAGACCCCGUGAACCUUUACUAUAGCUUGACACUGAACAUUGAGCCUUGAUGUGUAGGAUAGGUGGGAGGCUUUGAAGUGUGGACGCCAGUCUGCAUGGAGCCGGCCUUGAAAUACCACCCUUUAAUGUUUGAUGUUCUAACGUUGACCCGUGAUCCGGGUUGCGGACAGUGUCUGGUGGGUAGUUUGACUGGGGCGGUCUCCUCCUAAAGAGUAACGGAGGAGCACGAAGGUUGGCUAAUCCUGGUCGGACAUCAGGAGGUUAGUGCAAUGGCAUAAGCCAGCUUGACUGCGAGCGUGACGGCGCGAGCAGGUGCGAAAGCAGGUCAUAGUGAUCCGGUGGUUCUGAAUGGA